rnacentral:lncRNA from 1 species
UUCUUUCCUUUUCUUCUGAGCUCCUUAUAUAGUAAAAAUCACACAGCACUUGGCAAUGUGCUGGGCACUGCUGUCAGCAUUUACAGCAUAAAUAAAGUAAUAGGUAUUACCUCAUUUAACGAUAGACACUAGUAUUCUCUCUCUUGAGGCUCAGAGAGGUUAACUUCCUCAAAGACACACAGCUGGUAAGGGAUGGAGCCAAGAUGUGAUUCCAGGAGCUUGGCUCCAGAGUCCAUGCUACUAACCAAUGCCCUGUAUCACCUGCAUCAGCAGGCGUUGAUUAAGCACCUUCUGCAUACAAGGUUCACAUGACCCCUAAUAGUUAAAGAUGUUUAGGAUGUCAGAGGAGAAGCUGUAGUUCCCUGUUCAUGGAGUUCAGAUGGGAAUAAUCGGACUGAGAAGACUUGAAACCAACCCCCCAGCUUUUAGGUGGGGAGCCCGGUAUUGCUCUUGAUUCUACUUCACGUGGGUGGGGUGGGGAGAAGGGUGCAAUUCAGGCUGACUUUCUGGAGUAGAGGGGCUUGAGGACAAAGGGGCAGGAACCCAGUGGGCCAGGGAGAGGGGCCCAAGGCUGAUGUGCCAACAAGAGGAGGGGUGAGGCGGCCAGACUUGAACGCCAGACUCAAGGUUUGGAUGGACUCCCGCCAGUGACAGGGGCAGAAGCGAAGCCUGGGGAAAGCAGCUGAGAUGGGGGAGGGGACAUCAGGGCAUGUUUCAGGUAAGUUCUGCUCAUAAGUGUCUGAAGCCGAGUUGUGACUGGCUUAAGCACUUCGCUCGUGUAAUGGAAAAGCCUAAGGGAGGGCUUCAGGCACAGCUGGAUCCAGAUGUUCUGACGUCAUCUCCCUGAGUCUGUCUCCCUCUAUCUCUCGUCUCUCCUUCCUUAGGUUCCCUACUACCUCUGGUGACUCACAGGACUGGAAGCCCAGAACCUCUAUGUGGAAUCCUAGACCACCACAGCUUUGGGUCCCCAGAGCUCUGGUUCCUGUGUCCGCCAGCUCAGCAACAUCGCCGUUCACAAGCCAAACGGGAAGCUCAGGCCUAAUCCAGCCAAAGCCUCAUCUGAAUUUCUCUGCCCCAAAACCUACUCUCACUUGAGUUGUGUCUACCCAUUAACAUGGAUUUUUUUUUUUCUUUUUUCUUUUUUGAGACAGAGUCUCGCUCUGUCCCCCAGGCUGGAGUGCAGUGGUGGGAUCUCAGCUCACUGCAACCUCUGCCUCCCGCGUUCAAGUGAUUCUCCUGCCUCAGCCUCCUGAGCAGCUGGGAUUACGGGCGCCCACCACCACGUCCAGCUAAUUUUUGUAUUUUUAAUAGAGGCAGGGUUUCACCAUGUUGGCCAGGAGUCCUCUGACCUCAAGUGAUCCACCCCCCUCAGCCUCCCAAAGUGCUGGGAUUACAGGCGUGAGCGUGAGCCACCACGCCCAGCCUUUUUUUAAAAAAAAAAAAAAAAUAGAGACAGGAGUCUGAGCAAGAUGGCUCAUGCCUUUAAUUCGGUCCUUGGGAGGCUGAGGCAAGAGGAUCACUUGAGUCUAGGAGUUUGAGACCAGCCUGGGCAACAUGGGGAGACCCCAUCUCCACUAAAAUAACAAAAAUUAGCCAGGCAUAAUGGCAUGCACCUGUGGUCCCAGCUACUUGGGGGGCUGAGGUGGGGGGAUCACCAGAGCCUGGGGAGGUGGAGCUUGCAGUGAACCAUGAUCGCACCACUGCACUCCAGCCUGGGCAACAGAGCAAGACCCUGUCUCCAAAAAAAAAAAAAAAAAAAAAAAAAAAAAAAACUGUAAUGCAUGAUUGUCUCUAGCACCUAAAUAGAAACCACUCCAGGUAUCUUACAGGGAAUUGAGUGCUUACAAAAUCAUGGGAAGCUGGCCGGGCGCGGUGGCUCACACCUGUAAUCCCAGCAUUUUGGGAGGCCGAGGCGGGCGGAUCACGAGGUCAGGAAAUCGAGACCAUCCUGGCUAACACAGUAAAACCCUGUCUCUACUAAAAAAAAUUGAAAAAAUUAGCCGGGCACGGUGGCGGGCGCCUGUGGUCCCAGCUACUCGGGAGGCUGAGGCAGAAUGGCGUGAACCAGGGAAGCAGAGCUUGCAGUGAGCUGAGAUCACGCCACUGCACUCCAGCCUGGG